rnacentral:SRP_RNA from 1 species
GUUGGGCACGGUGGCGUGUGCCUAUAGUCCCAGCUACUCGGGAGGCUGAGGUGGGAGGAUCACUUGAGCCCAGGAGUUCUGGGCUGUAGUGUGCUAUGCCAAUAGGGUGUCUGCACUAAGUUCAGCAUUAAUAUGGUGACCUCCUGGGAGCGGGUGACCACCAGGUUGCCUAAGGAGGGGUGAACCGGCCCAGGUCGUAAACAGAGCAGGUCAAAACUCUCAUGCUGAUCAGUAGCGGAAUUGUGCCUGUGAAUAGCCACUGCAUUCCAGCCUAGGCAACAUAGUGAGACCCUGUCUCU